GUUUCUGUGUUAUAGGUAAGUUCACUUGUUUCAUAUUUUAGAUUCCAUAUAUAAAUGAUAUGGUAUUUGUCUUCUUUUUCUGAAUUAGUUAAGUUAUUGUUUCUAUUUCCACAUUGCAGAGGGAAUCCAAGACGGUGAUUAAAUGACUUGGCAAGAUUGUACAGCUGUUAAGUGGCAUAGCUGAGAUUCCAUCUCAAACAGUUUGGCUCCAGAUUUCAUAACCUCAACCACAGGGGACAGGUGACACCAAAACUCAUUUGGAGGACCUGAGUGUAUAGAUAUGAAGAUAUAGUACUGCCUUGAUGUCUCCUCAGUGUGUGCCCUUUCACCCCUUCUUGAUUUCUGAGAAUACUUCUGUCAAGCAACAAAUGGCAGGAACACACACUUGGCUGUUGUGUGUCAUGAUAAGAGUACAACAUCUGAAUAGGAAGGAAACCAGAAGAAAAUGA
rnacentral:lncRNA from 9 species